rnacentral:sRNA from 2 species
CCGGAAUCCGCACCGACUCACGUGUGGCAGGAGCGGGGGAACCAGGUAGGCCGCCGUCCGGAGCGAUCCGGCACGGCUAGGGGUCAAGUCGCGAUUCACGCGGCCGGACAUCUCCAGUCCGAACCCGACAGCUCACCUCGCAGGCGCCGGAGAGGAAAU